CUGGGUUUGGAAGGCAGGAGGGAGGGAUCAGAGAUCACUCUCCAGAGAUCUGAGUCCUGGGCGGGCGCAAGCAGAGGCAACCCUUUAUAGUCUGUUACUUCCGCAUUCCGCAUUAGUAGUAAUUUGGCGGGCUUGGCAAGAGGGGUAGGAGCAAGAACCCGGAAGGGGAGUUUUUAGUCGGGGACUGGAAAUUCCCUAUCAGUACUGUCAGCCAUCUUACAAGAUUUUUCCCUACCAUUAGUAUAUUUGGGUUGUCAGUCUCAUUGGAGUUAACACGUAGUAACAGUGUAUUGCAUAUAUAAUUUGCAAAAUGCUUUUCACUUAGAGCAGUAUAUUCAGUCUCCCAACAGGUCAAGACACAUUUGUUGAUCUUCUUUUCAGACUGAGAGACUUGCUGGGGGCAGAACAGAUACUGGUGACUACUGUCUUUGAUUUUCCCAUGCCUACUCCUUUGUCCCUUCGUUCUGAGAAAAUAACACCUACGUCACUUCAUUGACUUGCUGGGAGGACCAAAUGCAAUGCUGUACACCAUUCGAAAGAAAGGCCAUAGCAAUGACCAAAAUGGCUUGCAACAAAAGGAGACUGUCAGCGGAGAGUCACAUGUCCAUUAAUUCUCCCAGAAAGGAUUCUGAUUUAAGGAGGUGGAGCAAUCAAAUACAAUCAGUUCAUAUUGAGACAACUUCAACUUGACACAAAGAAAUAUUCUAUGUGCUUUCCUCUGGUGGAUUUCCAGUUUCAGAAGUCCUACACUGCUGGCCCUUACAACUUUACCUGGAUGGGAGUCAUAAAUCUCAAGUCAUUGAUCCUCAAACCGUAUUUCUUGAAUCUACAUAGCUCUUUCUCGUCUCUGAUCAGAACCCUUGCACAUGUUUGUGGCUGCUCUUACCUCUACCUGGAAGGCUCUUCUUUUGGCAGUCAACUAGAUGCAAUUACAAACUGCAAUUGUUAUAAAGCAAUGGAAAUGAGUAUAGAAAUAGAGCGGUAACAUGUAUGCAGAAACUGGAAGGAUGACAAGGAACGAGGCAUCUGAGAAGGGAUGGAGCAGGACAUCUCAGAGAAAAGGGAGCCUUGCCUCCCCUGGAAGUGAAAGGAAACCACUGUGGCUGGUGCAUGAAGGGUAAAAGUGAGAGCCAGAGCCAGGUCAUGCUGGCUUGUGGGUGUCAGGUCCUCCUCACAUUCGAAGGGUUCUAUCUUCUGUCCUUUCUCUUUUUUAUCUUCUAUGGGCAUUCUCCCUCAAGAAAUCUCUUGUACAUCGAAUUUCAACCUGGUGUCCACCUCAGAGGACACGAACUGACACCAUUAAAGAUUUCACAGGGCCUCCUUCAUGCUUCCAUUGGACAGCUGAACGGUUUCCUUUGUGGAUCACCCAAUUCUACUUCGUAGUCUACACAGAACUUGUUCUUCAGAAGAAAUCUCCAGCAGAAGCCCAAUGAAUGACAUUGAUCCAACUGCAUCAGAGACUGUCAACCUCUCUGGGACCCAUUUCUGUGCCCCUCAGGCAGAGUUGAGUGCAUUCCUCUAUCGUCCAACAGAACAUAAUGCAUUUUAUUGCUGACCUUAUCUUAAUGGAUUAUUGUUACACUAUUUUAUGUAUCUUUUUUUUUUUUCAUUAAAUCGUGAGCUUCUCAAGGGUAGGGGCAAUGUCUUACUAAUUUCAGAACAUAUCCCAAUAACUUGGCACAUAAUAAUUGCCCAGUAAGUGGUUGAUGAAUAAAUACGUUUAACCUCCAACUAUCCAACAAUUUAUUUUUACUGAGUGAUUAUAUUAUUAUGUUGUUUAGAAAAGUAUUUAAAUGAAUGUAUGGACAUUAAAGUUUUAAAUCCAAUAAAUAUGUUUGAACGUCUUAUCAUAAGGCAUUUUUGAAUCGGAAGGGGUGUAGAAAUCCCUUAGAUUUCUACAUUUUACAGAUGAGAAACUGAGGCUCAGAGCAACACAUCAAAAAUAGAGCAAAGAUGCAUCUCUAGAUAUGAGGUGACAACAAAAGGCUAUGUUCCUUACACUUUUUAAAUCCCUUCCCUAAGAGGUAAUGCCUGGCACAAAUACUGGGGCUAUGUACUGAAUAACAUUAUUAUGUCAUAAUGUUAUCGGUUGGAUUCCUUAGGAAGAAGAGUCUGAGAUGGAAUUUAGCUGGCAGGAUGUUUAUUAAGGAGCACCUUCUAGAUGAACACCUGUGCAAUGGAAGGGAAAAAAAGCAGGACUGGGCAGAGAAAGAGGUUGAGCUUCAAUACGGUCCUAAUGGUGGCCUCUGUUGAUCCCAAAAGAGCUCCAGCCAGAAUAGCCCUUCGUGUGGUCCUUAGCUGAGUUAGGAUGGCCAGCACUUCAUAUCCCUGUGUUGAAUGAGGGCCACUCUAGAAAAGGUGUGACCUUGGAUGAGGCACUUCUCUGCAUUUGCAGUAAUUCCUCAUAGGCUGAGAGUCAAGGGCUGUCUACUGGUAGCACUCCUAGCAUCUGGGCAUCAAGCUGUUCCUUGAAGGGAGAAUCUAGGCAACAGAGCACAGUGUUUCCACAGUAAGCUUUCCUAAGGACAGAUUUUUAUAUGGAUACAGAUGAGGAUUCAGGUCUGAAUCAGGUAAACUCAGUUAACAGAGGAGCUGGGGUUGUCAGUUGGGUCUCAGUUCACAAUGCAGUUGUGUGUAUAGUGAUACAUAGUAGCAAAUUUAUGAGAGACCUCUGAAAUUCUGAAAUUCUUGCUGUGAUCUUUUAGAGACUUUCUUUGUCUGGGGCGCCUGGGUGGCUGGGUCCGUUGGGUGUCGACUUCGGCUCAGGUCAUGAUCUCAGUGUCCAUGAGUUCGAGCCCCGCGUCGGGCUCUGUGCUGACAGCUCAGAGCCUGGAGCCUGUUUCAGAUUCUGUGUCUCCCUCUCUCUCUGACCCUCCCCCGUUCAUGCUCUGUCUCUCUCUGUCUCAAA